GCCGACUAGCUUCGCCCCCCCCGCUGUCAGCUGGCGGCCUGUCAGGGAGCCAACGGCCCUCAAUGGUGAAGGUCACAGUAAAGGUGUUGGAAACGUUCCUCCCAGAUUUUGGUCCAUGUUGACGUGAUGGCAUCUCUGAUCCGAAUCUCCUGCUGCUCCACGUCCCAAAGCUCCAGAAGGUGGACGGCCUGUUACCCUUUUCCUUUAUCCAUCCAUCCAUCCAUCCAUCCAUCCAUCCAUCCAUCCAUCCAUCCAUCCAUCCAUCCAUCCAUCCACCCAUCCAUCCAUCCGUUCCUCCGUCCAUCCAUCCAUCCAUCCAUCCAUCCAUCCAUCCAUCCAUCCAUCCAUCCAUCCAUCCAUCCCAUCAUUGCUUUAUUGACAUGUGUGAAUGCCAGAAGGUGAGUUUGACAGCUUAGACUACAGGUUGACUGUUAAAGUGCAUAUUUGGUCAACAGUUGGUCAAUAGUUUCUAAGUUAAUCUUAUUUUUUGUUAAUACCCUGACAAAGCUCCUCAGUCUAUUGUGUUGUUCAGAUCGUUUUCAUUGAGUGAAGUUGAUUUUCCCGUAGUAAUUUGGGUAGCUUAUUUUCUUUGAUUCAUUUGUUGCUUGCAUCUCGGACCACCGUUCAAUACACCAUUUUUGACUGGGAGUCUGUACCGCUGUGCUCACCUCUCAGUCCCCGGAGACAACACGACCCUCUCCAUUUCAUACAGUGAACUCAUUGUCAUGUUCCAGAAAGCAGUUGAGGUGAUCUGAUCCUGCUGGAAGAAGCCAGAUGGUUACAGUGUGGUCAGCAAUAAGACUCAGGUAGGCUGCAACCUUUAAGUGAUCUUCAAUUGGUACUAAGAGGCCCAAAAUGGGCCAAAAAUGUGCCCCCCAUUACACCAUCAGCAGCAGCCUGAAGCAUUGAUACGAGGUGGGAUGGAUCCAUGCCUCCAUGUUGUUUACACCAAAUUCUGCUCUGACCAUCUGAACGCUGAGACUCAUCAGACCAGGAAAGUUAAGGACUCAAUGUUUCAGCACAGGCCCAGAACAUCUGCUUCAUCUGGUCACCUACAGAUGCAGAGGAAGGGAUUUAUCUGUGGUUUUGGUGUUUUUGCUCAGCACCAGAGUCUAAAUGUGAAUGUGAUCACCAGCUUAUGGAAACGGGCCGCUUAUCCCUGCAAGCUGCUCAGUUUUGUGUUUGGAGCAGAAUGUUUCAAACACACACCCCCAACACGCACACACACUUUCACACGUGAACCAGACUCGUCGGUUCCUUUUCCAGUUUUAUUAAAACAAGCACUAUGUAGCAGCAGUGUACAGUGUUCAUGGAAAGAUAUGUACUUUGUUAAAAUUGCACUUUAG
rnacentral:lncRNA from 1 species